CCCUAUGGGGUGCAGCAGGCGGAAUGAUAAGUCAGUGGUGAAAUCCUACAGCUCAACUGUAGAACUGCCAUUGAUACUGUUGUUCUUGAGUACACUUGGAGUGGGCGGAAUGUGUCAUGUAGCGGUGAAAUGCUUAGAUAUGACACAGAACACCGAUCGCGAAGGCAGCUCACUAAAUUGUAACUGACGCUCAUGCACGAAAGCGUGGGGAUCAAACA
rnacentral:rRNA from 1 species